rnacentral:rRNA from 1 species
GAUGAACGCUGGCGGCGUGCUUAACACAUGCAAGUCGAACGGUGAACGAGGGAGCUUGCUCCCUCCGGAUCAGUGGCGAACGGGUGAGUAACACGUGAGCAAUCUGCCCUGGACUCUGGGAUAAGCGUUGGAAACGACGUCUAAUACCGGAUACGAGACGCGAAGGCAUCUUCAGCGUCUGGAAAGAAUUUCGGUCCAGGAUGAGCUCGCGGCCUAUCAGGUAGUUGGUGAGGUAAUGGCUCACCAAGCCUACGACGGGUAGCCGGCCUGAGAGGGUGACCGGCCACACUGGGACUGAGACACGGCCCAGACUCCUACGGGAGGCAGCAGUAGGGAAUAUUGCACAAUGGGCGCAAGCCUGAUGCAGCAACGCCGCGUGAGGGACGGCGGCCUUCGGGUUGUAAACCUCUUUUAGCAGGGAAGAAGCGAAAGUGACGGUACCUGCAGAAAAAGCACCGGCUAACUACGUGCCAGCAGCCGCAGUAAAAC